rnacentral:lncRNA from 1 species
UCAAAAUUAAAUUUUCAAAUUUGGCGCCACUUUAUUGCUAAAACUAAUAUUUUACAAAUUACUUAUAUCCAUAAAUUCUAUAAUAAGUACGCAGAUAAGAAAUAAUAAAAAACUAGUUAUUAGCAACUUAAAAUAAAAUAUAAUAAACAGAUACAAAUGUCUUUCUGACAUACUAAAUUUCAAAUUAAAUUGUCAAAUUAUUUUUCUCUUUUUAAAUUAACUAAAAUUAAGGCAUUGUAUAAGAUUAGGAAUUACAUUAAGAAUUUUAUAUAUUUUUUUGUUAUGUAUGCCAAAAAUUUAAUGGAUUAACCUCACGUUCAUAUCUUGAAGAAGCAAAUAAAUUUUGCGAAAGCUU